rnacentral:tRNA from 1 species
AGGCGCGUAGCUCAGUGGUAGAGCAUCACCUUGACAUGGUGGUGGUCGGUGGUUCGAACCCACUCGUGCCUACCA